rnacentral:rRNA from 1 species
GGGGAAUUUUGGACAAUGGGCGAAAGCCUGAUCCAGCAAUGCCGCGUGCAGGAUGAAGGCCUUCGGGUUGUAAACUGCUUUUGUACGGAACGAAAAGGCUCUGGCUAAUACCUGGGGCACAUGACGGUACCGUAAGAAUAAGCACCGGCUAACUACGUGCCAGCAGCCGCGGUAAUACGUAGGGUGCGAGCGUUAAUCGGAAUUACUGGGCGUAAAGCGUGCGCAGGCGGUUUUGUAAGACAGAGGUGAAAUCCCCGGGCUCAACCUGGGAACUGCCUUUGUGACUGCAAAGCUGGAGUGCGGCAGAGGGGGAUGGAAUUCCGCGUGUAGCAGUGAAAUGCGUAGAUAUGCGGAGGAACACCGAUGGCGAAGGCAAUCCCCUGGGCCUGCACUGACGCUCAUGCACGAAAGCGUGGGGAGCAAACAG